rnacentral:lncRNA from 10 species
AAAGAAGAACAAAUGAACAGUUGAUAAUUUCUGUCUCAUAUUCCACAGCCCAGACAAGUUAUUUGCAAGAGAUUUAUUAGAACUUGAGCCAUUACUGCAACAGGAAUUGUGCUGCAAGGAAAAAUACAAAUUAUCUGUCACUGCUUCUAACAGAGCUGGGAGGGGGAAAAUGCAUGAAUCUAGAAGCUUUAAUUACCUGCAGAAGUGUGAGUUGGUUAUGCAGUGCCUAUUUUAAUUACCAUCUGAUUAAAAUUAAUCUUAGCUAAGAAAGGAGAAAGUGAAAUAAGGAAACUGCAGUCUGAAGGUUAAUGUUCCAAAUGUCACCAAAUGCAGACGAGUAAAGAAGAGAAGAUUGGGAUGAAGGGCACGUACGAUAUUCAGCAAACAAGAACUCUGAUAGGUGGGAAAUGUAAAGAGAAUUCCAAGUACAAUUAUGAAGAAGAAUAUCAUGUUGCACUGAGCUAUGUAUUUAGCAAACAACCAACUGAGUUUGCAGCAGAAGAAUAAAGAACUCCAGAGGGGAAAUGUCAAGGUAAAAUAUUUUGGAAUAAUUGCAUUAACUGGUACAUUUCACCAUUUAGAAAAGAAUAUUGGAAUUCUAUUAGAGAGAUUGGAAAAAUUUUCUUAUAGCUACAUAGAAAAAUGGUGAAUAAUAUGUUAAAAUUAUUUAUUUCUUAAACCUACAUGGUAUCAACAUAAUAUUAAUUUUAAAAUAUUAGUAUUAGUUUUUAUACAUGUGAUUAUCUUUAAUUAUCUUCUUUUUCUCAAAACCAGUUUCUUACAUGCCCAGAAGACUCAUGAACAAACAUUUUAAACUGGAAGAGUUUGAGCUGAGGUAUUCAACUUUUAUAACAAGGAGGAGCCUUUAGUUAGUAAUUAAGCAAUAAUAAUCAAGGCAGAGUAAUGCUUGUCUCAGAAAGUUCAUUGUUGUGGGCCAUUAAUUCUAGCAUAGCAAUUAAUUUUCAAGGAAAUGCUCUAUGUUUAAAAGGCCAUUUCUAUAGUUAGAAAUUAUCAGAAAUCAUACCAAACUGUUUAUUGUGAAAAGUAAUCAUGCCAUUAUUAAUCCUGUGGUAGUUAAAUUUAUGUGCAAACUUGAAUGGGCUAUGGGGUGCCCAGAUAUUUGGUCAAGCAUUAUUCUGGAUGUGUUUUCUGAAGGUGUUUUGGUGGACAAAUACUUAAAUAAUUCUCUCUCUCUCCCUCUUCUUCCCCCCCACCCCUCUACACACACAUACACACACACAAACCUAUAUAUCUCCUAAUAGUUCUGUUUUUCUGGAAAACCCUAAUUCAUAAAAGUCCCUCUCUUUGUAUAUGUAUAAAGGAAAAUAUUGAUAUAAAGUACUCUAAAAAAAUCAGUAACAAUUUCUUAAGCUCAUGAAUUUCACUCAAGUUUUCUUAUAGCUUAAAAUCUUUUUAAAAUAAAGAUGAAACUAAUAUUUAUUCAGAAUGAAUUAUGUGACAGGUGCUUUAUGUAUAUUGUUACAGUUAUUACUCAAGACAAAUGAUAUUAUAUAAAGCACAUUUUAAAUAUGUGGAUAAAUGAGGCUCAAAGUGUUCUAUCAGCUUUCUCAUAUACAUACAUUAAGUGAUACCUAAGGGGCUCUGACUCCAAGUUUCCUGGCUUCAAGAGCCAUGACUUUUCCAUGGUACUAUUGCAGUCUUUCUGGAGAUUCUGUUUUAGACUAGCAUAUGACAAGGCAUUCUUGCCAGAAGCUAUAAAAAA